rnacentral:rRNA from 1 species
AUUGAACGCGGGCGGCAGGCCUAACACAUGCAAGUCGAACGGUAGCACAGAGAGCUUGCUCUUGGGUGACGAGUGGCGGACGGGUGAGUAAUGUCUGGGAAACUGCCCGAUGGAGGGGGAUAACUACUGGAAACGGUAGCUAAUACCGCAUAACGUCUUCGGACCAAAGUGGGGGACCUUCGGGCCUCACACCAUCGGAUGUGCCCAGAUGGGAUUAGCUAGUAGGUGGGGUAAUGGCUCACCUAGGCGACGAUCCCUAGCUGGUCUGAGAGGAUGACCAGCCACACUGGAACUGAGACACGGUCCAGACUCCUACGGGAGGCAGCAGUGGGGAAUAUUGCACAAUGGGCGCAAGCCUGAUGCAGCCAUGCCGCGUGUAUGAAGAAGGCCUUCGGGUUGUAAAGUACUUUUAGCGGGGAGGAAGGCGGUGAAGUUAAUAACUUCACCGAUUGACGUUACCCGCAGAAGAAGCACCGGCUAACUCCGUGCCAGCAGCCGCCGUAA